CUAAGACUACCUCACAUCCGGUGACUCACUAGAAGGAGUGAUUGAGCAUAUAUUUGUGUUAGAGUAAGUAGAUAGAUAUGAGCAGAGGAGAUAAAAGACAAACUGACCAAAAAAAACAAAACAAAACCCAUGGUCAAGUAAACAAGGGAAAGGGAGAAUAGAAAACUAAAACAGCCAUCAAAAUUAGACGAAGACAGGGAAAAGAAAUGCAGUAAAAAUGACUCCUAGCACCAAAAGGACAUCUGCAGACACACGACAUUCUAAGAAGCCCACCAGUUAAGCAGACCCACGAAAUUCUAGGGAGCCUACCAGCUAAAGGACGAAUGGUGCAGGGAGAUUAGCAUGAAGCGUGGGAGGGGCAAGAAUAAAACAAAGGCCAGGAUUUAGACCCCCGGAUGUACUUGAAUACAGCUUUGACGCUCUCUGCAAUUUCCCCGUCUGUCGCGUUGAAAUCCUUCCUCCUGGAGAGGAGAACCUGGUCUUGCUGAUCCCCAGCGCCGCUGACAGUUCUAACCGCCAGCCCGGAGCCGGUUCAAGAAAGCCCCCAAAUGGUUACAACUAGUGCACCUGUAAAAGAUGCUUCGCCAGGGCUUUCAACCCGCCCCCCGGCCCCCCAUACACAUAC